rnacentral:lncRNA from 1 species
CAGUCAGAGCUCAGACAUAAAUAAGUCUGAAUCUGCUUUUGACUCAUAGAGGUCUAGAUUUGUAAGUUUUAGGAUUUGUCUCCCUUUAAUGUAAGACAAAAUACGACUUGAAUAAGUCCAAUAUUGUUAAACAAGAAAUAAUUGACCAGAAUCAAAAAGUUGCAAAUAUUGACUCCUACAAGUCGAUGAGUGAUCAAAAUUGGUUAACUUCAAGACCCACGAAUAUUUAUAAGGAGGUCAUGCAUCUAAAUCAAAUAAUGACAACAUUGAAAGCCAA